AGAAGCAGUUUGCCCCCUAAAUUAAUGUCCGUUUUGCGCUUUGCCCCCCAAAUAAUUUUUUUUUGCACGUUUUUACCUAAACUCGUGUUUUUGUUGCACGUUGCCCUAAAAACGGUAUUUUCCGGUGAUUUCCGCCGGAAUACUAGACAUGUGCGAAUCACGUGAGUUUGGCAGGGGCAAACUUGUCUAUUCACUUGCAUUCCCCCUUUUUCUCCAUCGUCUUGCUCUGUAUUUUUAUUUUUUACUUUUCUUUUUAUUUUUAUUUUUUUCUCCAGAAUCUCUUUUCUCAAAUUCUCAAAUACACAAAAUCAAAUUCUUCAUUUCUCCCCUUGAUUAGUCUUCUUCUUUUCCCCCGUUCUUUAAUCACUUAUAGUGCAGAAGAAAAUGCUUUCCCCAAAUUCCUCCUCCGCUGCCACCUCCAAUUUCCGCCGCAGUUAUUCUCCCUUUUUGGCCUUCAUCCUACUCCCUUUUCAAUUUUGUACAGGAAUUUUGGACAUGAGAGGAUUGGGGGAUGGGCAGACCGAGGGUUCUUUUGCUUUUUCCCCCUCACGAGAAUGCUUCAGCAUAUCAAUUUUCUAUGCUCCUGCAAAAAAAAUAAAAUAAAAAAAUCAUCUAUUCAAUAGUCCAGCAACUAAGAGUAAAAAAAAAAAAAGCACUUGCUUUUUAAUCUUAAUUAAAUCAAAAUCUCAACUUUGCCUGGGUCUGUCUUCAGUAGCAAAAAAAAAAAAACUCCAUUGUUGUUUGCUUUAAUAUAAAGGUUAAUGUUUUUGAACUGUUUGUGUGAUGUUAUUGUUUGGAUUUUGGAUUGGGGUACAAUUUUAUAUUCUUCGAAUGUAAGAAUUUCUUAGUCGGGAGAGGAUUGAAAUAAGAUGGGAAAAUUAUUUUCUUCAGAUUCGAGAAUUGGGGAUUCUUUUCGAAUAAUCAAUUGGACUGUGAAAUUGAGUUUUACGAUUCCCCUCAUCCAUCGAGAAAAUAUUGCUGACAAGUGGGAUCUUGGAGGCAAAGUGAGAUGAAUUUCCAAGUUAAAAGGGAGAAUUGUGUAGAUCGAGAGUGGGAGAGUGCAGAAAUAUUGAGAAAAUUGCUUUAACAAAAAUAAUAAUUCAUCCUACUCCUUCAGUUGUGGUGUGAGAAAGAAGAUUUUUCACAGAGGAGAAAAGUGUUUCAAAGGGAGAAAAUAUGCGUCAAAAAAUGGAGGAUGAGGGAUGGUGUUGAUAGAGAAGAAGGGGAAUGAAGAAUACUAGUUAAUAGACAAGUUUGCCCCUGCCAAACUCACGUGAUUCACGCAUGUCUAGUAUUCCGGCGGAAAUCACCGGAAAAUACCGUUUUUAGGGCAACGUGCAACAAAAACACGAGUUUAGGUAAAAACGUGCAAAAAAAAAUUGUUUGGGGGGCAAAGCGCAAAACAGGCAUUAGUUUAGGGGGUAAACUGCUUCUUACUCUAAUAUAAAUAUCCAAUUUACAUUUUUACUGCAAGCAUUUGGGAUGAGUUGGUAGUUUGUAUAUUGAUUAUAGCAUUUCUCAAUUGGAUGUGGAGUAGGGCUUCUUAGUUGUGGAAAAAGCUUAAAAGUAAUCAAAUAUAGUAAUUUAAUUCUAAUUACCUAUUGGGACUCGGGAGGGUUUGAUGAUUUUGCGUGCCGGGUAUUUUUGUUAAUUCUAAUUAAAUUUUUACCGUGUUGAGUUCGAAAAUAAGUUAUCGUCUUGGUGCACUUCCCUUAAAUUAUUGACAGAUUACAGCAAUCUUGCGUAUCUUUUAGCAAAAUUUUGUGAUUGAGAGUAGGUGUUUUUGAAAACCUUACGAAAUUUAAGUAUAAAGAAGCUUUUAUCUUCGGAUUUUUUUGGAAGGAUAACAUGUUCGGCAGAAAUCGACUAUUUGAUAGGUUUUUAGUUUCGAGUGGUACCUUCUUAUUGUUUCUUUGUGAAGUGGGAAUAAUUUGUGCAAAACAUUUUCAUAUUUAAUAAUGAUGAUACUAGAUUACGGCGGUCAGCAGUUGUUGAUUCAUGACGGGAAAGUAUUGAAAGACGAAAGCAACUUGGCGGAAAACAAGGUCUCUGAAGAUGGGUUUCUUGUCGUCAUGCUAAAACCAAGCCUGCAGCUACUGCUACACCAGCUGGUAAUCCCACUUCAACAGCUGCAGCUUCGCCACUGGAGCCGGUCCCUAAUAGCAGCGGAUUAGCUUCUGUCCCUCCGACAAGAAAUGAGCCUUCCGAUUCUUAUGCUCAAGCUGCUACCAAUUUAACUGGCGGUAGUAAUAAUGAGCAGACAAUCCAACAAUUAAUCGACAUGGGUGGUGGCAGUUGGGACAACGAGACAGUCACCAGUGCCCUUCCUGCUGCUUAUAAUAACGCAGAACGGGCUGUGGAUUACUCGUAUUCAGGAUAUAUUUGACGAGGGUGAUAGUGACGAAGAAAUGCCCCAUGCUGUUAGUGUCACGCCAGAAGAGGAGGCAUCCAUCGAAAGAAUGGAGGCCAUAGGUUUCGAAAGGGCUCUUGUUAUCGAGGCAUUUUUGGCGUGUGAUUGCAACGAAGAAUUAGCAGUCAACUAUCUAUUGGAGAAUGCUGCUGAUUACGAGGAUUGAAACGUUUGACUGUAUGAUAGAUUUUCUCGGUACAAAUGUUUGAAGAGUUUUUAUAUAUCAUAAAAAAAAAAGAAGAAUUUUAUUCU